GACGAACCACACACACGUUAUUCGGAAUUACUGGGCUUAAAGGGUGCGUAGGCGGCGCAGAAAGUAGGGUGUGAAAUCCCUCGGCUCAACCGAGGAACUGCGCCCUAAACUACUGUGCUCGAGGGAGGUAGAGGUGAGCGGAACUUAGGGUGGAGCGGUGAAAUGCGUUGAUAUCCUAAGGAACACCGGUGGCGAAAGCGGCUCACUGGACCUCUUCUGACGCUGAGGCACGAAAGCUAGGGUAGCGAACGGG
rnacentral:rRNA from 1 species